rnacentral:rRNA from 1 species
UGGGGAAUAUUGGACAAUGGGCGAAAGCCUGAUCCAGCCAUGCCGCGUGUGUGAAGAAGGUCUUCGGAUUGUAAAGCACUUUAAGUUGGGAGGAAGGGCAGUAAGCGAAUACCUUGCUGUUUUGACGUUACCGACAGAAUAAGCACCGGCUAACUCUGUGCCAGCAGCCGCGGUAAUACAGAGGGUGCAAGCGUUAAUCGGAAUUACUGGGCGUAAAGCGCGCGUAGGUGGUUCGUUAAGUUAAAUGUGAAAGCCCCGGGCUCAACCUGGGAACUGCAUCAAAAACUGGCGAGCUAGAGUAGGGCAGAGGGUGGUGGAAUUUCCUGUGUAGCGGUGAAAUGCGUAGAUAUAGGAAGGAACACCAGUGGCGAAGGCGACCACCUGGGAUCAUACUGACACUGAGGUGUGAAAGCGUGGGGAGCAAACAGG